rnacentral:lncRNA from 1 species
CACUGAAGGGAAGCUUACCAGAGUGCCAUCGAGUUCCUUCCCCUAAGGAUCAGACUUCCAGACUCAAGUGUCAUUUGACCUGGUAUCCAGCUUAAUACAGCCUCUGCUUUUGAAUAGAUUUCCUUACAAGUGGCAAUCUCUAAUAGGGUCAUGUCGAGAGGCAACCCGACUGCAUACUACCUACUGCACGUUAACGUGAUGAAGGUCUCUCCUGAGCACACGGCUUCAUAAACCAGCUGCACAAGCAACUGCAUCUGGGGAUCUGCUUCAAGAGAAACUUAACUAAAGCAAGAAUGGGCUCUAACUUCAGGAUACCUAGGAUUCUAACCUCGUUCCAUUACUUACCAACGAUAUGACCUGGGAAAAAUUAUAUACCUGCUACACGAUGAGCAUACUUGGAAAGGAGUAGGUCAGGUGUCUCCAAAGUCUUCAGGCAGAGGCAACAACCACCAGGCAAACUUGAAGAGUUCUUGAACUACUUUUGAGGUUCCUCCUCAAUUUCACAGAUAUACCCUCCUCAGACUCCAGCCCCCAGUAUCUAAUGCCUGGAGCCUGAGUAGCAGGAUGGGAUUAAGUGACUUCUUGACUUGUGAACAAGAUAAAUGGAAGGUUCUGUUCAGAGGCUCUCAACUAUUUUGUACUUGCA